rnacentral:rRNA from 1 species
AACGAACGCUGGCGGCAGGCUUAACACAUGCAAGUCGAACGGGUGUAGCAAUACAUCAGUGGCAGACGGGUGAGUAACACGUGGGAACCUUCCUCGUUGUACGGAACAACUCAGGGAAACUUGAGCUAAUACCGUAUACGUCCGAGAGGAGAAAGAUUUAUCGCAAUGAGACGGGCCCGCGUCGGAUUAGCUAGUUGGUAAGGUAACGGCUUACCAAGGCGACGAUCCGUAGCUGAUCUGAGAGGAUGAUCAGCCACACUGGGACUGAGACACGGCCCAGACUCCUACGGGAGGCAGCAGUAGGGAAUCUUGCGCAAUGGGCGAAAGCCUGACGCAGCCAUGCCGCGUGAAUGAUGAAGGUCUUAGGAUUGUAAAAUUCUUUCACCGGGGAAGAUAAUGACGGUACCCGGAGAAGAAGCCCCGGCUAACUUCGUGCCAGCAGCCGCAGUAAGAC